GAUGGCAAGCGAUGAUAAUUUGUUUAUUCGCUCUGAUGAACAGUGUUGACUACAAAACUCCGCUUAUUAUCUGAUGCCAUC